rnacentral:lncRNA from 1 species
AAACAUGCUGCAGUCUCUGCUCAUCUUUGAAGGUGCUGCCUUGCUUGCUUGCUUGCUUACUCUGAAAUUCUGCAGGAAGCCCCACAUGGAUUCUGGUGCUGUACAAGCCUCUCAGUCAGAAGAUACCUUAUGAUUUUCACUUCCUUCUAUUAACGACCACAAUUUUGAUGCAACAGAAUACAGAAACUAUGUCUUGGCCAAUUUUUCCUUCUAAGAUACAGCUGUACAGUAGGUAAGUACCUUGAUAACAGUUUUGGUGGGCAUUGGUUCAGUAAUGCUAUUUCCGUAGUUAAUUAAAAAACAAAACAAAACAAAACAAAGGAAGAAGAAAUAAAGAAAAUUGUUCAAGUCA